AACGAACGCUGGCGGCAGGCCUAACACAUGCAAGUCGAACGCGCGUAGCAAUACGCGAGUGGCGCACGGGUGAGUAACACGUGGGAACCAACCCAGAGGUUCGGAAUAACCGCGGGAAACUGCGGCUAAUACCGGAUAUCCCCCAAGGGGGGAAAGAUUUAUCGCCUCUGGACGGGCCCGCGUCCGAUUAGCUAGUUGGUGAGGUAAUGGCUCACCAAGGCGACGAUCGGUAGCUGGUCUGAGAGGACGACCAGCCACACUGGAACUGAGACACGGUCCAGACUCCUACGGGAGGCAGCAGUGGGGAAUAUUGGGCAAUGGAGGCAACUCUGACCCAGCCAUGCCGCGUGGGUGACGAAGGUCUUCGGAUUGCAAAGCCC
rnacentral:rRNA from 1 species